rnacentral:misc_RNA from 1 species
AUCGACACUCAUGAUUAUGAAGUGAAGAUGAGAAACAUGAUGCGUUUCUUUGAGAGCGGAGACAAGGUUAAGGUAACCUUGCGCUUCCGUGGCCGUGAAAUGGCUCACCAAGAUCUCGGCAUGAAGCUUCUGCUUAAGGUGAAGGAAGAGACCCAAGAUAUCGCUAAGGUCGAAUCCCAUCCUAAGCUGGAAGGUCGCCAGAUGAUGAUGGUGCUAGCACCUAUUUCUCGUUAAUAGGCUCAGGUUGAAGCGCUCCAGCUUGGUUUCUGUGUAGCUACUCAACCGAAGCCCCAGAGAAUUUUGAGA